AUGUUAGACCUGUGCAAAGGCUUCGAUCGAAGCUCCGAUCAGAACUACAACUUAGAGAUUCAAGAUCCAGCAAUGGCGCGACGAACAGGAAAGAAAACCAGAGAUGCCGAAUUGUAUUUGAGACGAUGUGAAGGAAAUAGUACUGGUGAUGCUCUCUCUUCUCCUUCUUGCAUCUCUGUCUUCAUUCUAAACCGAUGCAGCCUGUUUCAAUUAGUUUGGAUUGGUGAUGUUAACGAAUGCAGAAUAAUAUUAGACACUGGUGGUACAAGAAAGUAUAUAGCUUAG